CUCUGGCCUGUACCCCAGUUCUGUAUGCAGGUGGGCCUCCAGCAGCCUGAGGUGAACCCAGCGCCCUGACCAUCGGGAAGCUCCUCCUCAACCCUUCUUCCCUUUAUUCUGAGGACUGGUGGGCAGGGGCCCUGGGAGCCUCGACCAUUCACCAGAUAAGUGAUAGACUGUCCUCAUUAUGAAAAAGCUUCGGCGACUGGAUUGUCUUUGUUGAACUGAGUCACUUUUAGGCUACCUCAUUUCUCUUUGUUUCUUCAUCAGUGGAGUGGGGACAGACAGGACUAAACAAGCUACAAGACACAAAGUGCUUAGAACAGCACCUCCGAGCGGGGAAAGCAUGAAUCUUUGUCAUCAGGGGACUUCACAUCCAAAGCAUCCUUUCCCAGACUGUGCUGAUGGAGAAAAGAACGCCUUGGACCCUUGGAAUUUCCUAAGAGAACCAACCAUGUGACUGGAGCGUUGGUCCUUUCAGCCCCAACCCCUGACUUCCAGCCACAAGAAUGCAUGUGUGAGCCCUUCCCGUUGAACAUCUCAAAGGAAUGACGGGAACUCUUCAUCACCCUGGCCUAAGCCUCUGCGCGCCAGGACUGAGAGGCGCAGAGUUCACACGCUGGGUCGCUGGGGACAGCAUCGGGCCCCCCACAUGUGUGGAAGAGGAGUGAGUGCUACGUGCUAGGGAUGUGGGUUUCCACCUCACGGUACUUCUUCGGGCUUGUGGUUCCAUCUUUGCGGAAGGAGGGCAUGGACGGAGGUGUUUUAGGAGAGCCCCAACUCUGUUUUCCUGGAGUCUUGACUCUGUCACUCCUUCACCACGUUCUGAAACUGGCUCUUCACUCGGGAAAUGGACGUGUCUCCAGGCCUGUAAUAUCCUGUCUCACAUAAAGAGGGGUGAGAGAGUGACAAGAUAUACUCAUUCUGUGGUAUCAAAAAACCAAAGAUCUCAUCUGAACUUGACAAGAUGCUAUUUUUAAAAAUUGUAGUGAGGUAGCAUCGUUUCUCAGCACUGUUUGAGACACAGAGGUAGAGGAACGCAUCUCUCCACAUGCACGUCGCCACACCACACCCACCACCCACCAUGCUUCACCAUAGUCCCUGUGCUCCCAUCCCACCUUGCUCUCUACUCUUCCUCUCCCCCUCAAAUAGCCAUAAUUCUACAGACAGAUUUCUAGGGUGUGUUAUCAUUCUAUCAAAAGGCAAUUUUGGAUGAAGGCCGUCCUUGCUUUAAAGGAAACAUGGAUUAACUUCUAUUCCCUUGCCCCUAAAUUUCCUGCCCAGUGCAUUGGGGUCCACUGACAUGAAGUGCUAAAAGGGCACACACAGAGAGAGAAGUGAUGCUAGAAUAAUUUUGAGGAUCACUGAAACUUUUCCUAGUUGAGAAAAUCUGACAGACUCGGACAGUUCACUCAAAAAAUGUGUGUCCAGGAAAGAUUGAUGUAUUUAUGGAGGCCUCGGUGUGUUUAUAUGGCCUGUUGGAAUUUGAAGCCCCAACUCAGCCUCUUACAGGCCACGUGAUGUGUGAGUUAUUUUUCUUUCCUGAGCCUCAGGUGCCUCAUCUAGAAAAUGAGAACAAAAUCGUGUUUUACAAGGUUGUUAUAAAAAUGAUAAUAAUUGGUGCUUCCUUGAUGACACAGGGAUUGCGGCACAGCACUGUGAAGCUCUCCGCAGCCACUGCAGUAUGAGUUCAACCCGGGGCUGACCCACAU